CAGCCGUAAACUAUGCUCGCUAGGUGUCAGGCAUGGCGCGACCGUGUCUGGUGCCGCAGGGAAGCCGUGAAGCGAGCCACCUGGGAAGUACGGCCGCAAGGCUGAAACUUAAAGGAAUUGGCGGGGGAGCACAACAACGGGUGGAGCCUGCGGUUUAAUUGGAUUCAACGCCGGACAACUCACCGGGGACGACAGCAAUAUGUAGGCCAGGCUGAAGACCUUGCCUGAAUCGCUGAGAGGAGGUGCAUGGCGUAGACGUCU
rnacentral:rRNA from 1 species